GGGCCCGUGGCCUAGCCAGGAUAGGGCGGCGGCGUCCUAAGCCGCAGAUCGAGGGUUCGAAUCCCUCCGGGCCCG
rnacentral:tRNA from 1 species